UACGUAGGGUCCGAGCGUUGUCCGGAAUUAUUGGGCGUAAAGAGCUCGUAGGCGGUUUGUCGCGUCUGCUGUGAAAACCCGAGGCUCAACCUCGGGCCUGCAGUGGGUACGGGCAGACUAGAGUCCGGAAGAGGAGAGUGGAAUUCCUGGUGUAGCGGUGAAAUGCGCAGAUAUCAGGAAGAACACCCGUGGCUAAGGCGGCUCUCUAGUACGUGACUGACGCUGAGACGCGAAAGCGUGGGGAGCGAACAGG
rnacentral:rRNA from 1 species